rnacentral:rRNA from 1 species
CUGUGUACCCGCGGCUAGACGGAAAGACCCCGUGAACCUUUACUACAGCUUGGCACUGAACAUUGACCCUACAUGUGUAGGAUAGGUGGGAGGCUUUGAAGCACAGUCGCUAGAUUGUGUGGAGCCGUCCUUGAAAUACCACCCUUGUAGUGUUGAUGUUCUAACUUAGGCCCCUAAUCGGGGUUGAGGACAGUGCCUGGUGGGUAGUUUGACUGGGGCGGUCUCCUCCCAAAGAGUAACGGAGGAGCACGAAGGUUGGCUAAGUACGGUCGGACAUCGUACGGUUAGUGUAAUGGUAGAAGCCAGCUUA